UACAGAGGGUGCAAGCGUUAAUCGGAUUUACUGGGCGUAAAGCGUGCGUAGGCGGUUCAGUAUGUCGGUCGUGAAAUCCCCGGGCUUAACCUGGGAACUGCGGCCGAAACUGCUGGGCUUGAGUGUGGUAGAGGAAGGUGGAAUUCCAGGUGUAGCGGUGAAAUGCGUAGAUAUCUGGAGGAACACCGAUGGCGAAGGCAGCCUUCUGGGCCACAACUGACGCUGAGGUACGAAAGCGUGGGUAGAAAACAGG
rnacentral:rRNA from 1 species